rnacentral:rRNA from 1 species
GACGUAGGGCGCGAGCGUUGUCCGGAUUUAUUGGGCGUAAAGAGCUCGUAGGCGGCUUGUCGCGUCGAAUGUGAAAUCUCAGGGCUCAACUCUGACAUUGCAUUCGAUACGGGCAGGCUAGAGUUCGGUAGGGGAGACUGGAAUUCCUGGUGUAGCGGUGAAAUGCGUAGAUAUCAGGAGGAACACCGGUGGCGAAGGCGGCUACCUGGACAGAAACUGACGCUGAGGCGCGAAAGCUAGGGGAGCAAACAGG